UGUGUACUUAUAAUCCUAGUGAUAUGAGAGGCAGAGAUGAGAGGGUCAUUACCAACCCUUCUCCAAGUUCAGAGAGAGACCCUGUCUUGAGAAUAAGGCAGGAAAUGACAGAGCAGAGUCCAUCAUCAACUUCUGCCAUUUGCACCUGUAAAUGCAGCUCUAUGUACCUGCAAACACAUGUGGGCAUAUAAUAGACAUAUGCAACACAGACAUAAGACAAGACCAGUGACAGUGUUCAGAUGUGAGACUCCAUUAUAUUUGAUUCCAUUUAAAGGAACAGAAAGUAGUUUAAGGACUGCUUGAGAUGAGAUAAGAGAGGGUAAGUGGUCAACUGUGAACAAGAAUAAGAGAUCCUAUUAGAGGAGUAAAAAUAACUACAAUUGACUCAUGAUCGUGAUUGAUUAUUAAGACUUACUGAAAUUUUAACUAGGCUGACUGUUGUGAUCCAUUAGAUUUUAAACUCAGUUGGCUGGGCCCCUGGCACUCAGACUGAAUAUUGUGAUUAUACAGCUAUAUAACCAGAUAAAACUGCUUACAAGAAAUUAUGGACAAUAAAAUUUGACUUCAAGUUCUAAUAUUCUUGAUAGAAGGGUUGAAAAGAAAUAGGGAUUCCCCUAGUUGACACUUUUCAUGAGAAUGACUCCUGUAUUCAUGUAUAGAACCAUUUCAAAGGUUUUUUGUUUGUUUGUUUUUAAAAUAACCCUCCUCUUUCAAGUUUCCUCGAAAUGAAACCAAAUGUGGUUUUAUUUUUUUUUGAAUGAGAUUUUAGUAUUUUAAAUCAAUCAAGAAUUUGCCAUGGGCACCAUGUUCUUAUUUUGAAUUCCUAGAAGGAGAAAGGGAACCCAGGAGCUAGUUUGGAGUUCUUGGGAGAGAUGACCCUUUUUGAGCAUGACUUCAUUACCAGUAGGUUAUAUGUAUGUAUGUAUGUAUGUAUGUAUGCAUGUAUGAAUGUAUGUAUGUAUGAAUGUAUGUAUGUAUGUAUGUAUGUAUCUAUCUAUCUAUCUAUCUAUCUAUCUAUCUGGAACAAUAAUAAUUAUAGAAGAAGAGAUCAAGAAUCCAAAAGAGUAUAAUGGGAGGGGGGAUUGGAAGGAGAAGAGAGAGAAGUUGAAAUGAUGUAACUACAGUGAACUCAUAUAGGAAAUUCUUUUAAAAAGUAUUGAAAAUGGUGUUAAUUUUUAAAUAUUUAUAAGUAUUUUAAAUUAUCUUCAUUUUGUUUUCAAUUGAAUUUUCUUUAUUUUGGGGAAUUCUUUUUAGCAAUAAUGUGAAAAUCCUUGAAAAUUGAAAGACAUGGUUGCACAAGUCUGUAAUCCUAGCUACUUAGGCAGCUAGCUGAGGCAGGAGGAUCACAAAUCCUAUGAUUUGCUAUAAAGCAAGCUUAAGGUCACUCUUGGUAACUUAGUUAAAUCCUGUCUCAAAAUAAAAAGAGGCUGAGAGACAGCUCUUUGGUAGAAUAUUUGCCUACCAUUUAUGAUACCUAGGUUCAGUCCUCUACAACAUAUAUAAGUAUGCACACAUGUAUAACAUAUGACAAGAAAAAAUUGAAGAACACAAACUCCAAUAAAAUAAGUAUUAUGAAGAGAAAUAGAAUGCCAGAAAAUUAGAUGAUAUUUGAUACAGAUGAAAUCAGAAAUAAAAGAACCUAUACCAGCAAGCCAAUCUUUAAAUAUACUUUCUAUGGUGGUUAAAAAUUGGCUCCUCUUCCAAUAAAUAGAUGAUCUUGUCUGAUGCAUUUAAUGACACAGAAUGCCAAAGCAUCUAUUCAGUUAAGAUUGCAAACUUUGAAGGCGGGUGUUGUAGAGGUUCAAGACAGGAUUUCUCUGUGUAGUCCUUGCUGUCUGGAGCUCACUCUGAAGACCAGUCUGGCUUCGAAUUUAGAAAUCCACUUUCUUCUGUCUUCCUAGUAGUCAGCAGUAGUGAUGCAUGCCCUUAAUCUCAGCACUCAGGAAGCAGAGGCAAGUAGAUCUCAGGCUGGUCUACAGAACAAGUUCCAGGUUCCAGGACAGUCAGGGCUGCACAGAAAAACCACAUCCCAAAAACC
rnacentral:lncRNA from 1 species